AUUGAACGCUGGCGGCAGGCUUAACACAUGCAAGUCGAGCGGGGUGAUGGUGCUUGCACUAUCACUUAGCGGCGGACGGGUGAGUACUGCUUAGGCAGCGGCCUAAUAGUGGGCGACAACACCUCGACAGGGAUGCAAAUACCGCAUACGUCCUACGGGAGAAAGCAGGGGAUCACUUGUGACCUUGCGAUAAUAGAUGAGCCUAAGUCGGAUUAGCUAGUUGGUGGGGUAAAGGCCUACCAAGGCGACGAUCUGUAGCGGGUCUGAGAGGAUGAUCCGCCACACUGGGACUGAGACACGGCCCAGACUCCGACGGGAGGCAGCAGUGGGGAAUAUUGGACAAUGGGGGGAACCCUGAUCCAGCCAUGCCGCGUGUGUGAGGAAGGCCUUAUGGUUGUAAAGCACUUUAAGCGAGGAGGAGGCUCUUUUGGUUAAUGCCCAAGAUGAGUGUACGUUACUCGCAGAAUAAGCACCGGCUAACUCUGUGCCAGCAGCCGCCGUAA
rnacentral:rRNA from 1 species